AAGUUUAUUGAUAAGUGCACAUGUCAUGGUGUAAAUUUGAAGUUUACCAAUUUUGAUAAUUUGUUCAGUUAGCAUUCGUAUUGGCCAUCUCAUUUUAAGUACGAUGUGCAAGUUCACACAGGUGAAUAUCAAAGAACUAGAAAGUUCUUUACGAAUUCUCUUGUAUCACUUGUUCUCAUUAAUGAACUGACCAAUUAAAGAGUUCGGGUCGAAGCCCAUAAAUUCUGGAAAUAUCAAAGGUGAAUAUGGGCCCAUUCACCUGCCAUGUAUACCACAUAUGAUGCAUCUAUGAAAUGGUUACAUGCGCAANNNNN
rnacentral:lncRNA from 1 species